rnacentral:rRNA from 1 species
CAGUAGCCGCGGGAAUACAGAGGGUGCGAGCGUUAAUCGGAUUUACUGGGCGUAAAGCGUGCGUAGGCGGCUUCUUAAGUCGGAUGUGAAAUCCCUGAGCUUAACUUAGGAAUUGCAUUCGAUACUGGGAAGCUAGAGUAUGGGAGAGGAUGGUAGAAUUCCAGGUGUAGCGGUGAAAUGCGUAGAGAUCUGGAGGAAUACCGAUGGCGAAGGCAGCCAUCUAGCCUAAUACUGACGCUGAGGUACGAAAGCAUGGGGAGCAAACAGGAUUAGAUACCCGAGUAGUCCCUGUCUCUUAUAC